rnacentral:rRNA from 1 species
AGAAACCUGCCCCGAACUUUGGGAUAACACAAGGAAACUCGUGCUAAUACCGAAUACCUUCAUCUGGUCGCAUGGCCGGAUGAAGAAAGAUUUAUCGGUUCGGGAGGGUCUCGCGGCCUAUCAGCUAGUUGGCGGGGUAACGGCCCACCAAGGCAUCGACGGGUAGCUGGUCUGA